UGCAGUCGAACGAGGUCUUCGGACCUAGUGGCGCACGGGUGAGUAACAUGUGGCAAUCUACCUGAAGGUUCGGAAUAACUGCGGGAAACUGUAGCUAAUACCGGAUGUGUCUGCAAAGAGAAAGAUUUAUCGCCUUCAGAUGAGCCCGCACUAGAUUAGCUAGUUGGUGAGGUAAUUGCUCCACCAAGGCUACGAUCUAUAGCUGAUUUGAGAGGAUGAUCAGCCACACUGGGACUGAGACACGGCCCAGACUCCUACGGGAGGCAGCAGUAGGGAAUAUUGGACAAUGGGGGAAACCCUGAUCCAGCAAUGCCGCGUGAGUGAAGAAGGCCUUCGGGUUGUAAAACUCUUUCAUCAAUGAUGAUAAUGACAUUAGUUGAAGAAGAAGCUCCAGCUAACUUCGUGCCAGCAGCCGCGGUAAUACGAAGGGGGCUAGCGUUGUUCGGAAUCACUGGGCGUAAAGCGUAUGUAGGCGGAUCAAAAAGUUAGAUGUGAAAUCCCUGGGCUCAACCCAGGAACUGCAUUUAAAACUAGUGAUCUAGAAUUUGGUAGGGGUUAGUAGAAUUUCCAGUGUAGAGGUGAAAUUCGUAGAUAUUGGAAAGAAUACCAGUGGCGAAGGCGACUAACUGGGCCAUUUUUGACGCUGAGAUACGAAAGCGUGGGUAGCAAACAGGAUUAGAUACCCUGGUAGUCCACGCAGUAAACGAUGAGUGCUAGUCGCUGGGACAAUAGUUUCAGUGUCGAAGCUAACGCAUUAAGCACUCCGCCUGGGAAGUACGGUCGCAAGAUUAAAACUCNAAUAAAUUGACGGGGGCCCGCACAAGCGGUGGAGCAUGUGGUUUAAUUCGAAAGCACGCGAAGAACCUACCAGACCUUGACAUGGUGUGUAUGAAUUACAGAAUCGUAAUUC
rnacentral:rRNA from 1 species